GAGAGUAUAGCUCAGUGGUAGAGUACGUGCUUCGUAAGUACGAGGUCGUGGGUUCAAUCCCCAGUACUGCCA